rnacentral:rRNA from 1 species
AUUGAACGCUGGCGGCAGGCCUAACACAUGCAAGUCGAGCGGAUGAGUGGAGCUUGCUCCAUGAUUCAGCGGCGGACGGGUGAGUAAUGCCUAGGAAUCUGCCUGGUAGUGGGGGACAACGUUUCGAAAGGAACGCUAAUACCGCAUACGUCCUACGGGAGAAAGUGGGGGAUCUUCGGACCUCACGCUAUCAGAUGAGCCUAGGUCGGAUUAGCUAGUUGGCGAGGUAAAGGCUCACCAAGGCGACGAUCCGUAACUGGUCUGAGAGGAUGAUCAGUCACACUGGAACUGAGACACGGUCCAGACUCCUACGGGAGGCAGCAGUGGGGAAUAUUGGACAAUGGGCGAAAGCCUGAUCCAGCCAUGCCGCGUGUGUGAAGAAGGUCUUCGGAUUGUAAAGCACUUUAAGUUGGGAGGAAGGGCAGUAAGUUAAUACCUUGCUGUUUUGACGUUACCGACAGAAUAAGCACCGGCUAACUUCGUG